AUACAGAGGGUGCGAGCGUUAAUCGGAAUUACUGGGCGUAAAGCGCGCGUAGGCGGCUUAUUAAGUCAGAUGUGAAAUCCCCGGGCUCAACCUGGGAACUGCAUCUGAUACUGGUAAGCUAGAGUUUUGGAGAGGGAAGUAGAAUUUCAGGUGUAGCGGUGAAAUGCAUAGAGGUCUGAAGGAAUACCAGUGGCGAAGGCGACUUCCUGGCCAAAAACUGACGCUGAGGUGCGAAAGCGUGGGUAGCAAACGGGAUUAGAAACCCUAGUAGUCC
rnacentral:rRNA from 1 species